rnacentral:rRNA from 1 species
UACAGAGGUGACAAACGUUGUCCGGAAUUAUUGGGCGUAAAGGGCGCGUAGGUGGUUGAGUAAGUCAGGUGUGAAAGCUCUGGGCUUAACCCAGGAAUUGCAUCUGAUACUGCUCGGCUUGAGUACGGUAGAGGAGGGUGGAAUUCCCAGUGUAGCGGUGAAAUGCGUAGAUAUUCGGAAGAACACCAGUGGCGAAGGCGGCUCACUGGCCCGGUACUGACGCUCAGGUGCGAAAGCGUGGGGAGCAAACAGG